GUGUCAGCAGCCGCGGUAAGACAGAGGGUGCAAACGUUGUUCGGAAUUACUGGGCGUAAAGCGCGUGUAGGCGGCUUGGCAAGUCGGGUGUGAAAGCCCUGGGCUCAACCCAGGAAGUGCACUCGAAACUGCCUCGCUCGAGUAUCGGAGAGGAAAGCGGAAUUCUCGGUGUAGAGGUGAAAUUCGUAGAUAUCGAGAGGAACACCGGUGGCGAAGGCGGCUUUCUGGACGAUUACUGACGCUGAGACGCGAAAGCGUGGGGAGCAAACAGGAUUAGAUACCCUGGUAGUCCACGCCGUAAACGAUGGGUGCUAGGUGUCGCGGGCUUUGACUCCCGCGGUGCCGAAGCUAACGCAUUAAGCACCCCGCCUGGGGAGUACGGCCGCAAGGCUAAA
rnacentral:rRNA from 1 species